AUUGAACGCUGGCGGCAUGCCUUACACAUGCAAGUCGGACGGCAGCACGGGAGCAAUCCUGGUGGCGAGUGGCGAACGGGUGAGUAAAGUAUCGGAACGUGCCCAGUCGUGGGGGAUAACGUAGCGAAAGUUACGCUAAUACCGCAUACGAUCUAUGGAUGAAAGCGGGGGAUCGCAAGACCUCGCGCGAUUGGAGCGGCCGAUAUCAGAUUAGGUAGUUGGUGGGGUAAAGGCUCACCAAGCCGACGAUCUGUAGCUGGUCUGAGAGGACGACCAGCCACACUGGGACUGAGACACGGCCCAGACUCCUACGGGAGGCAGCAGUGGGGAAUUUUGGACAAUGGGCGAAAGCCUGAACCAGCCAUGCCGCGUGCAGGAUGAAGGCCUUCGGGUUGUAAACUGCUUUUGUACGGAACGAAGAGGUUUGGCCUAAUAAGCUGAGCUCAUGACGGUACCGUAAGAAUAAGCACCGGCUAACUACGUGCCAGCCGCCGCAGUAA
rnacentral:rRNA from 1 species